rnacentral:misc_RNA from 1 species
UAGAGUUUACAAAACUCCCAACCCAUGUGGACAUACCUCAAGUUGCCUCGGCAGGUCUGCACCUACCUGGAACCAUGCCUACCUGGUAGGACGUACCCGGUAAGUGCAGGUAGCCUGUCAGUGGAAAACUAAACUCUGUUUAUUAUUGAAUUCUGAAUCUAUAACUAAAUAAGUUA